UACGAAGGGGGGCUAGCGUUGCUCGGAAUCACUGGGCGUAAAGGGUGCGUAGGCGGGUCUUUAAGUCAGGGGUGAAAUCCUGGAGCUCAACUCCAGAACUGCCUUUGAUACUGAAGAUCUUGAGUCCGGGAGAGGUGAGUGGAACUGCGAGUGUAGAGGUGAAAUUCGUAGAUAUUCGCAAGAACACCAGUGGCGAAGGCGGCUCACUGGCCCGGUACUGACGCUGAGGCACGAAAGCGUGGGGAGCAAACAGGGAUU
rnacentral:rRNA from 1 species